GUGAGUAACACGUGAGUAACCUGCCCCUGACUUCGGGAUAAGCCCGGGAAACUGGGUCUAAUACCGGAUACGACUGCCGGACGCAUGUCUGGUGGUGGAAAGUUUUUUCGGUUGGGGAUGGGCUCGCGGCCUAUCAGUUUGUUGGUGAGGUAAUGGCUCACCAAGACGACGACGGGUAGCCGGCCUGAGAGGGCGACCGGCCACACUGGGACUGAGACACGGCCCAGACUCCUACGGGAGGCAGCAGUGGGGAAUAUUGCACAAUGGGGGAAACCCUGAUGCAGCGACGCAGCGUGCGGGAUGACGGCCUUCGGGUUGUAAACCGCUUUCAGCAGGGAAGAAGCGCAAGUGACGGUACCUGCAGAAGAAGUACCGGCUAACUACGUGCCAGCAGCCGCGGUAAUACGUAGGGUACGAGCGUUGUCCGGAAUUAUUGGGCGUAAAGAGCUCGUAGGUGGUUGGUCACGUCUGCUGUGGAAACGCAACGCUUAACGUUGCGCGUGCAGUGGGUACGGGCUGACUAGAGUGCAGUAGGGGAGUCUGGAAUUCCUGGUGUAGCGGUGAAAUGCGCAGAUAUCAGGAGGAACACCGGUGGCGAAGGCGGGACUCUGGGCUGUAACUGACACUGAGGAGCGAAAGCAUGGGGAGCGAACAGGAUUAGAUACCCUGGUAGUCCAUGCCGUAAACGUUGGGCACUAGGUGUGGGGGGCAUUCCACGUUCUCCGCGCCGUAGCUAACGCAUUAAGUGCCCCGCCUGGGGAGUACGGUCGCAAGGCUAAAAC
rnacentral:rRNA from 1 species